AUGCUCCCUGGAAUGGAUGAGGCAAUGAACAUGGUGUCAGAUACUGUUUUCCCACAUCUGGAGCUUUCUUUCAAGGCUGAUGUGAUCUUUCAUCUGGACAAGAAAGGCUUUGAUCCAAACUCUAAGAUCCCCCUAUCUCCCAGUUAAUUGGUGUUAGUGAGGUAGGUUUGACAGUCCCUAACGCAGUCUCUGGAAUGCCUUACUCUGUUAAGACCUGUCUUUUGUGGCUCAGUCAGCUCAAAGACAUCAGCUUUCUCUUUGUUUGACUUCUGCCCCGCUGGGGAUGGUUACAGGUUUUAUUUGCUUUCAUUAUUUUCUCUUGUAAAACCAUUGAAUGCCAACAAAGGAAAACACUUUCCAAACAGAGGAAAACCCAAUCACUUACAGGCUUUGAUUGUCACAGAAACUCACAUAUAAUAAGUGAGAGGGAAAGGGGGAUUGCAUUAUAAAUUCAGUUCAUUUUUAAAGAUCUUGCCCACUUUUUAUUGUGGUCAUGUCUGUUUUCCUGUUAUACAUUUAUUAAAUGAAACAAUAAAAGAAAGUGUCUUUGCUCCCA
rnacentral:lncRNA from 1 species